rnacentral:rRNA from 1 species
AAAGGUAGCAUAAUCAUUAGGGGUUUAAUUGGAACCUGGAAUGAAGGGUCGGACAAAGGAAAAACUGUCUAUUGGGCUUAAUUUGAAGUUUACUUUUAAGUGAGAAGGCUUAAAUAUAUCAAAGGGACGAUAAGACCCUAUAAAGCUUUAUAAAUNACUUAAAUCUANUUGAUUUAGAUAAUAAAAGUUAAGUUUAAUUAUUUUAUUUUAUUGGGGNGAUAUGAGUAUAAUUUGAGCUAACUGCUUACAAAAAAUUCUUAUAUAAAAGGUUUCAAAGAAUGAAUGAUCCUUUUUAAAGAUUAAAAAACUAAGUUACUUUAGGGAUAACAGCGUUAUUUCUUUUGAGAGUUCAUAUCGAAAAAGAAGAUUGCGACCUCGAUGUUGAAUUAAAAUAUCUAUAUAGUGCAGCCGUUAUAAAAGAGGGUCUGUUCGACCUUUAAAUU